rnacentral:rRNA from 1 species
GUGUCAGCAGCCGCGGUAAGACGAACCGUGCAAACGUUGUUCGGAAUCACUGGGCUUAAAGGGCGCGUAGGCGGGCCAGCCAGUCUGUGGUGAAAGCCUCCAGCUUAACUGGAGAAGUGCCGUGGAUACUGCUGGCCUCGAGGAGGGUAGGGGCAUCUGGAACGGUCGGUGGAGCGGUGAAAUGCGUUGAUAUCGACCGGAACUCCGGUGGCGAAGGCGAGGUGCUGGGCCCUUUCUGACGCUGAUGCGCGAAAGCCAGGGGAGCAAACGGGAUUAGAUACCCCCGUAGUCC